GGGUUGUGAGGUUAAGCGACCAAGCGUACACGGUGGAUGCCCUGGCAGUCAGAGGCGAUGAAGGACGUGCUAAUCUGCGAAAAGCGCCGGUAAGGUGAUAUGAACCGUUAUAACCGGCGAUGUCCGAAUGGGGAAACCCAGUGUGACUCGUCACACUAUCAUUAACUGAAUCCAUAGGUUAAUGAGGCGAACCGGGGGAACUGAAACAUCUAAGUACCCCGAGGAAAAGAAAUCAACCGAGAUUCCCCCAGU
rnacentral:rRNA from 1 species